rnacentral:lncRNA from 1 species
UCCCACUAGCAGGAUAUUAUGAUCAGCGCCCCGGGCUUGCAUUUUGGGAAACAGGAUUCAGGAGACCGAGGUCGCUUCAGUCCUUCAAAGCAAGGGUUGGAUUCCUUCCUGGGUCUCCUGGUCCCAAACCCCAGAGUGUCUUCCAAGGGCUGCCCCCACCUCACCCGGAUGCAUUAUUUAUGGCCCAUUACUUACCUCCUGCAGGGGCCCAGAUGCUGCCUGCCAGAGCUGUGACCUUGCUGUGUCCCCUGGAGAGGACCAAGGGCAGCUCCUUCCCCCUCAUCCUCACUCUCCUCGCUACCCUCCCCCUCACAGCCUCUUUGGGCAUCGCCAGGCUCCUGGGGUGUGGCACAGCCUGUCCCUCUCCCCACCCACGAGAGCCACGCUGUGAGCAGUUUCCUCUUUGCCAAGCCAGCCGACACAGGCAGCAAGCUCCUGGCUUCCUGCGCAGGGCAGUGGCAGUCGCAACGUCCAAACUCACCAUCCCCUUAAUGACCUGCCUUGCGUUGCCAGUGUGUGUGCACAGGGUGGUUGGUGUGCGUGCAAAUGUUAUCUAUGUGGGGUGUGGGGGGUGUGGAUGGAAGUGCUCACACUUGAACACCAUUACAGUGCCUCUUCUGGGUCUUGCAGCCAAAAGCUAAAAGCCAAAAGUCACUGCAGGGACUGGGAAGGGGUGCUUAGGUCAAGAGUUAGGGUUGGGAGCAGGAACCCCCCAGGACCCCUGGAGCCCACAGCUUUGGAGCUGUGUGACAUUGAACAAGUUGCUUCAUCUCUCUGUGCCUUAUCUGCCUCCUCUUUACUUCCUUGAAUUGAGGAUUACAUGAGACAAUGCCUGUGAGGGACGGCAAACACCGCUAAACAUCUUUUGACCAGGCAUCCUAUCCUGCCUCCUGCUAGGCUGCUAGGUACAGAGGGCGGGUUUGGAUCACAAAGUCCUGGGAGGAAGGACGUUUGGGAGGGUGGGCAGAGGAGAAGCCAAGGGCCUGCCGACCCAACUAAUUGGUGUCUAGGCAGCAGCUGGGUUACCUUCACCCCAGUUUCCGUGUCAGCAAAAUGGGCUAUCAGUAGUUGCUUAACAGCAUGGCUAGCACCAUGGAAUUCUGGAAAGGGAGAACGCAAGCUCCAGGAAAUUACAGAAAUCGCUCCUUGGACUGAAUGUUCUCCCUUUCCCUCGGCAUUUAAGGCUUUUGGCACAGUUUAGCACAUAAAACCAGAGGGCAGGCAUUUCUGUUUCUCUUCCUCGCUUUCAAACUCAAAACUCCAGGUCCUGAGUGAUUAGUUGAAGGCUCUCAGAAUCCCCUGCAGACCCUGUGACCCACAAAGCCCCUGAGCCAUGACCUCCAGGAUCCGGGUUAGGAGGUACCAGAGGCACCAAAGAAUCUGUGUCUUCAAUACGCUUCCUCAGUGAUUCCACAGGGGGUGGCCCACCGUGAGAAAUUAGAGAGCAAGAACCCUACUGGGGAUUGUUCCAGAAGCUCAUGGAACAAGUCCUUUCAGAGUCCUGGUGCCCAGGCUUCUGGUCCCCUAUCCUAGGAACCUGAAAAUGGAACACAUGGGCUUCCCCGAACCUCACCACCUCCCACUUCCUCCAGUUAAGCAUCGUUGGUUUCUGUAGCUUGAUCAGUUUCCAAUCACCAGCUUGACCGGGACCAGUGACAGGUGGAUGCCCCUUCUUGGAAGUGCAGGGAAGUGAGCAAAGGUGGAUCACGGCCAAGUCCUAGCCAGACUUGGGAACCUGACUUGAAGAGACCACCCUGGUGGCAAUGAGUCAACUGAGGUGUCUGUGUCUUCAGUGUCUGGUGAGCCCCGAGGGCCAGCAUCCUCAUCAUUACAUCAGGUACCUGGUCCAGCCAGUGAGUGCUUGGGAAAUGCUGGAGGCUGGGAGGGGGUGUGAGUAAAUGCACCUAGAGACCUUCUGGUCCCACAGCUCUACUUAUUCCAGGUGUGAGAGACUGGAGUUAUUACUCACCAGGUACUCACUGCCCCCCUUUCCCCCUUCAGGUGAGUGUACCUGGCUGCCCCCCUCAAUGACUGCAGGCUUGGCCAAAUGACUUGUUUUGGCCAUUGAACUGCCAGUAGAGGCCUCACAUGUGCUUUUUAGGUCAGGUGGGCUCUGGUACUCCUGCUUGUUGAAUUGAGAAGAGCAUACACUGGGCAGCUGCUACCUACAGACCCUGGGCCACAGAAUGAGAUGCAGGGAGCAGGGAACAUGCCUGACCAUACCCCGUGGACUGGGGCAGAACUGCUCCAGCCAGGCUGCAGACCCCUGAGCAAGAAAAACAAACUGGUAAGCUCCAGGAUUUGCAGAUGGUUUGUUAUGCAGCAUUACCACAGCCAUAGCUGACAAGCUCACCAGGAUCCAUCUAUUUUUUUUCGGAGCUAAGGCUAACUUUGCCUGCUUUAAUCUUGCUGUGUGAUUCUUUGCCUAUGGUGAAUCAGCCAGUCUGGUUCUAAGGUUCUGAGUCAUUUUGGUGACGUUUGGUCCUGUCCUACUCCAGAAUCAUCUGUGAACCUCUUCCAUCUCAUUCAUCCUAGGAGUGACCAUGGUAUUCACCUGCAAGACUUAACUGCCAACCGCCGACUGCUAAUCCCUCUGAAAUGUUUUAUAUAUUUGCCACUGCAAUUCUAUGAAGUAGGAAUUGAGAUUAACCCCCUUUUAUAGAUGAGAAGACCAAUGCUUGGGGAAACUCACUAGCAAUCUUACAGCUAGUAACUGGUGGACCAAAGAUGCUAGUCUGAAUUGCCAAGCUUGUGCUUUUCACCCUCUUCCCAAGAGCCCCCUUCUAUUGGUGGAAAUGCCUGUUUUCCUGGGACAGUCCCCUCCCCAAGCCCUCUUUUCCACACAACCUUCUCCAGUAUCCCUGCAGCCACUUCCCACUUACAGUGAACAUACUUGAUCCCUGCUGCCUAGAAUUAAUUAUUUCAAAAAGACAUUUGGAGAUUCUGAUCUGUUGGGUCUAAUGCGUUCCUUUUGGCUAAUUUAAUAGUUCUGUCUUUCCAUUCUAUAAAGCCACCAUCACUCUAAUAGCAAAACCAGACAAAGAUACUACCAAAAAAGAAAAUUAUAGGCAAAUAUCUUUGAUGGAUAUAAAUGCAAAAACCCACAACCAAAGUUUAGCCAACUGAAUCCAUCAACAUAUAAAAGAUCAUACGCCACAACCAAGUGGGAUUUAUCCCAAGUCAACAAGGAUGGUUCAACAUACACAAAUCCAUGUCAUAUACCACGUUAACAAAAGCAAAGUCAAAAACCACAUGAUCAUCUCAACAGAUGCAGAAAAAGCAUUCGACAAAAUUCAACAUCCAUUCGUGAUAAAACACUCUUAGCAAAAUGAGUAUAGAGGGAACAUAUCUCAACAUAAUAAAAGCUAUUUAUGACAAACCCACAGCCAGUAUAAUACUUAAUGAAGAAAUGCUGAAAGCAUUCCCUCUAAAAUCUGGAACAAGACAAAGAUGACCCACUCUCACCACUUUUAUUCCACAUAGUAUUAAAAGUCCUAGCCACAGCAAUCAGACAAGAAUUAAAAGAUAUCCAAAUGGGAAGAGAAGAAGUAAAAUCAUCACUAUAUGCAGAUGACAUGACACUAUAUAUAGAAAACCCUAAGGACUUCACACAAAAACUACUCGAACUGAUAAACGAAUCAAGCAAAGUAGUAAGAUAUAAGGUUAACAUACAGAAAUCGGUUGCAGGAGUUCCCGUUGUGGCUCAGUGUUAAUGAACCUGACCAGUAUCCAUGAGGACAUGGGUUUGAUCCCUGGCUUUGCUCAGUGGGUUAAGGAUCUGGCAUUGCUGUGAGCUGUGGUGUAGGUCACAGAUGUGGCUCAGAUCCCUCAUUGCUGUGGCUGUCGCACAGGCCGGCAGCAACAGCUCUGACCCAACCCCUAGCCUGGGAACCUCCAUAUGCCAUGGGUGUGGCCCU